UAUGGCCAUAUCAAUUUGAAACACAGGUUCUUGAACGAUCACCGAAGUUAAGCAACGUCGAGCCCGGUCAGUACCUAGAUGGGUGACGGCUUGGAUAUAUCAGGUGCUGUGA
rnacentral:rRNA from 1 species